CCAGCUCCUCCUGCACCAUGGCUUCCUGGAUGCUGCCACGCUCCUACCUUGAUGAUAAUGGACUGAACCUCUGAACCUCUGAUCUGAGCAGCUGCCAAGCAGGCAGGGCUAGAGCACGCGCGUUGGAAGAGCAGAUUUGUACCCUGUAGGUGACCGAUGCAUACCCUCACCGUUGGCUGCCUCGGAUGCUACUGUUUGUGCCUAACACCUGUUAAGGGGCCACACACACAGAUGGCGCUGCAUAGCCUUGUUGGAGGAAUGGAGACAUUUCCUUAGCUGGCGGCACCACAAGUGCAUGGAAGGAGGAACAAUUACUGAUGUCUGUUUAGAAGAGCAUCUUCUAGUUGACUCUCAAGUUCAAGGACAGCUGGAUAAAAAGAAGACCCUUCCCACAUCUUAAGGAAAAUUGUGGAAAAGGAGGCAAAUGCUGGCCUGUCAUCCGUUACACACUUGAGACCUGUCCUUCAUCAGAUGGUUACGCGAACGCACGACCUAUCUUCUUCCCGUUCCCUUGAUAGUAUUAUCAUAAAUAAC
rnacentral:lncRNA from 1 species